UUCACUUUUGUAAAAAUAGUGCUCUUUAAUAUAAAUUAUUGAAAUAUUUUAGAAAUAUAAAUAUGUGCAACGUUCCUUUUUUUUGUAAUGCUUUGUCAUUUCAGAUAUUACAGCUUGUAUUUUGCCAGACUAGUGGCCAGCCUUUUUUUCAGAGUCUUUAUAAAAGACAAAUGAUUCACAAACACGUGUGAGGCGCCACUGCUGCUGCAACACAUGUCAGAACUUGUUUUUAAUGAGAAAAUAAGACUGAGAUUUGACCGAAAAACUGUGUUUCACCAGUCGGGUUUCCAUGAACUUGAAUUGCAUUAAAAAAAAGGGCAGUGUGGGAAAUCAAAAUUAGACGCUUAGUGCAAAAGAUGCACUAAUUUUGAAAUGGCAGGCACAAAGAUUUGGUCGCCUGUCAGUUUACAUGAUCAGCUGACUGCUGCUACAUGCUUUUGUUUCAAGAUGCUGGUACAAGCUGCAAGAAAAAUAAUCAAAUUUGCCCAAAAGAAACACAUUUUUGGAGAUUUUUCGCACUUUUUGCAAAAGACACAGACAACUAAAGCAUCUUGUGUUGUUUCUGGUUUGGCAAAUUACAGCCACAUGUCGCACAAAAUCAAAAAGUUCUGAUUAAAACUCACCAAAUUAGCAACUUGAUGUUUAAAAUCACGCAACAGUUUUAUGGAAACUUGACUUUUUUCGUGUAAUUUAGCGCCACAAAACGCUCAUGAUGUGAAAAGGCUAGCUGCGAGCACCGCUUGGACACAAUUCCCAUCAGAUCUCAGUCUUGGUUUUACAAAAAAAGGCUUGCAGUUCUUGAAGAAUCACCGUAAGGACGUCUCGUGUUCCUUUUGACAUUCAGACAGACAAAAUCAACUCUUGCUUCAGAGGUAAGGAUGGAGAACAGGUGGGGCGAGAAACCGCUGGAAGUUAAUGAGGUUAGUUAACGUCUCCUCCUGUUCCCAUCAUGAGUGGGGUUGUAAUGCCUCAUUUCCACUGUUUGGUGCGACUCGACUCACUCAAAACUGACCCCUAGUUUUCAUUUUCCAAUCUGCAAGGUGAGCAAACCUGAAGCCAGACAGUGAAAAGUGGCGUGAAGACUAUGAUUAUUGGGCCGAUAUUUGGAGUUUGGACUGAUUAUCUGUAUCUCUUUAUUAUACAACAGAAUUAACUAUGGACUAGUUAACAGUCUGAUUAACUAUGAAUUACCUGUAUCGGCCCUGGACUCUUAAUAUUAAGUCAGAGGAAAUCACCCCAGCACUGAUAUUUUAACUGCAGCUUAGCUUUUUCACCUAAUGCAGAAUAUCUAGUUUUGAUGCUGAGUUAAGAAUCAAGUCCUGUUAGUAAGCAGGUAGCAUCUGCAGAGGGAAUUAAUACAAAAGGCACUGAAACCAGCAGCCCUGAGUGAGUUGAAUCACUGCAACUCUGUGGAAAAGAGGCACUAGAAAACCAGAAGAGAGAGAGAGAGAGAGAGAGAGAGAGAGAGAGAGAGAGCAGGAGGACUCUGUGUCGGAUACAAAAGGACAAAAAAAGAACCGGGUCGAGAUGAUAACAGAGAAGGAAUCACUGUGAGAGGGUCUGAAAGAAAGAAUGAAGACUCAGUCAGCACUUUCUUUUCAUACUGGGCCUGGUUUUAUAUCUACAGGAGCAGCGUCCUGUUGAGCCCAAUCGUUUCCUCGAACUCCAAGACAUCAAUCACGUCAAUGUUUUUGUUUAGCUGUAUACCAGUAUGUCUCCUCCCCUUUCUCCCCACCCGUAGCCCCCUUCCCAGUUCUUUAGUUUCCUUUUAGCUAAUCCCAUUUCCCGCUCUUCUCCUCUCUCCUUCGUUCAACCUCUCUCCUCACCCUCUCCGCUCAUCCCCUAGUAUCACCACCAUCAUCAUCAUCGUCGUCAUACCCGGAGGAGUUUUACAGUGUCGCUGACAUUUUUCCAGCCUCUCUGGAUAAAAAUAAGUUCUGCUGUUUUGUUUGGUCCUUCGCCAAAGCUUUUGUCUCGGUAACAGGCUUUUGUCUCGGCAACAGCAGCCUGUUUUCUGUCAUUGUCAAAGCGAACAUGCUACUCCGAAAAGAAAUGAAGAAAAAAAAAAGAAAAGAGGGAGGGGUGGGGGUGGGGGGGGGCAGGGUGUGGGUGAUGGAGGAGACAAACAAAAUGAGGAGAAGAUGCUUUGUAAUGCUUUUUUCUGCACUGCUGUUCCCACGCUAACAAAACCUGCAUGUGGGCCUGUACCUGUGUGUGUGUCUGUGUGUGAGUGUGUGUGUGUGUGCGUGCAGAGCUGGCGUGCAUGACCGCCCCGCUCCCCCCUCUAUGAGGCAACAUUUGCGGGAAGCAGCGAUGGAAAUGUGUGCGCUACCACAACACAAUAGCACACACACACACACUCACACACAGACAAACAAAUACUCCAUUUCUCUGCUCUGGGUCUCUUUUUUGGACUUUGUCUUUCCUCCCUAACUCCUCCAUCACUCCCUCCUUUCCUCCCUCCCUGCCUCCCCCCACGUCUUGUUUUUCUAAGCCGUCUUUCUUUCUGUCCAGUGAUCCACAGUGUUGUAAAUGUCAGCCUGACCGAGGAGGAGACGUUUCUUCUGAAGCACGUUUAGAGGGACUCCUGUGGGGUACUGAUCGUGUCCUCGCUGUCACUGUUAAUAUCUACCAAUCGGGUUAAUCUUCUACGAGGCUCUGCUCUGCGUCAGUCAUAGGAAACGUCGACCCUUGACCUCUCACUUUGUCUGCCACUCGCAUUAGUGGUCAGUUUCAGGAGGCAGGACAGACCGGGAAACCAACUCCAGACCCCGUGUCAGGAGGGGACUCUGGGUGGCCGGUGCCUGUCGUUUCACACUGGAAAUCUGACCUCGCGCUAGUAUCUAACACCAACGCUAGUCAGUAUCUCAUAG